AAAUUGAAGAGUUUGAUCAUGGCUCAGAUUGAACGCUGGCGGCAGGCCUAACACAUGCAAGUCGAGCGGUAGCACAGAGAGCUUGCUCUCGGGUGACGAGCGGCGGACGGGUGAGUAAUGUCUGGGAAACUGCCUGAUGGAGGGGGAUAACUACUGGAAACGGUAGCUAAUACCGCAUAAUGUCGCAAGACCAAAGUGGGGGACCUUCGGGCCUCAUGCCAUCAGAUGUGCCCAGAUGGGAUUAGCUAGUAGGUGGGGUAACGGCUCACCUAGGCGACGAUCCCUAGCUGGUCUGAGAGGAUGACCAGCCACACUGGAACUGAGACACGGUCCAGACUCCUACGGGAGGCAGCAGUGGGGAAUAUUGCACAAUGGGCGCAAGCCUGAUGCAGCCAUGCCGCGUGUGUGAAGAAGGCCUUCGGGUUGUAAAGCACUUUCAGCGGGGAGGAAGGCGUUAAGGUUAAUAACCUUGUCGAUUGACGUUACCCGCAGAAGAAGCACCGGCUAACUCCGUGCCAGCAGCCGCGGUAAUACGGAGGGUGCAAGCGUUAAUCGGAAUUACUGGGCGUAAAGCGCACGCAGGCGGUCUGUCAAGUCGGAUGUGAAAUCCCCGGGCUUAACCUGGGAACUGCAUUCGAAACUGGCAGGCUAGAGUCUUGUAGAGGGGGGUAGAAUUCCAGGUGUAGCGGUGAAAUGCGUAGAGAUCUGGAGGAAUACCGGUGGCGAAGGCGGCCCCCUGGACAAAGACUGACGCUCAGGUGCGAAAGCGUGGGGAGCAAACAGGAUUAGAUACCCUGGUAGUCCACGCCGUAAACGAUGUCGAUUUGGAGGUUGUGCCCUUGAGGCGUGGCUUCCGGAGCUAACGCGUUAAAUCGACCGCCUGGGGAGUACGGCCGCAAGGUUAAAACUCAAAUGAAUUGACGGGGGCCCGCACAAGCGGUGGAGCAUGUGGUUUAAUUCGAUGCAACGCGAAGAACCUUACCUGGUCUUGACAUCCACAGAACUUUCCAGAGAUGGAUUGGUGCCUUCGGGAACUGUGAGACAGGUGCUGCAUGGCUGUCGUCAGCUCGUGUUGUGAAAUGUUGGGUUAAGUCCCGCAACGAGCGCAACCCUUAUCCUUUGUUGCCAGCGGUCCGGCCGGGAACUCAAAGGAGACUGCCAGUGAUAAACUGGAGGAAGGUGGGGAUGACGUCAAGUCAUCAUGGCCCUUACGACCAGGGCUACACACGUGCUACAAUGGCAUAUACAAAGAGAAGCGACCUCGCGAGAGCAAGCGGACCUCAUAAAGUAUGUCGUAGUCCGGAUUGGAGUCUGCAACUCGACUCCAUGAAGUCGGAAUCGCUAGUAAUCGUAGAUCAGAAUGCUACGGUGAAUACGUUCCCGGGCCUUGUACACACCGCCCGUCACACCAUGGGAGUGGGUUGCAAAAGAAGUAGGUAGCUUAACCUUCGGGAGGGCGCUUACCACUUUGUGAUUCAUGACUGGGGUGAAGUCGUAACAAGGUAACCGUAGGGGAACCUGCGGUUGGAUCACCUCCUUA
rnacentral:rRNA from 1 species